rnacentral:rRNA from 1 species
GACGAACGCUGGCGGCGUGCUUAACACAUGCAAGUCGAACGGAAAGGCCCUGCUUUUGUGGGGUGCUCGAGUGGCGAACGGGUGAGUAACACGUGAGUAACCUGCCCUUGACUUUGGGAUAACUUCAUGAAACUUGGGCUAAUACCGGAUAGGAGCUCCUGCUGCAUGGUGGGGGUUGGAAAGUUUCGGCGGUUGGGGAUGGACUCGCGGCUUAUCAGCUUGUUGGUUGGGUAGUGGCUUACCAAGGCUUUGACGGGUAGCCGGGCUGAGAGGGUGACCGGCCAAACUGGGACUGAGAUACGGCACAGACUCCUACGGGAGGCAGCAGUGGAGAAUAUUGCACAAUGGGCGGAAGCCUGAUGCAGCAAAGCCGCGUGCGGGAUGACGGCCUUCGGGUUGUAAACCGCUUUCGCCUGUGACGAAGCGUGAGUGACGGUAAUGGGUAAAGAAGCACCGGCUAACUACGUG